rnacentral:lncRNA from 1 species
UAAUAAGUAAACUUAGUAAACAAGUAGCAAAUUCAGCUAUUUCAAUUCAUAUAUGGACCAGAUAUGAGAUCACAAAAUAGGUGUGCAUAUAUCUGCAGAUUGCAUGAUAAUUCAGUCACUAAAUUUUCUGUCAUCGGUAGUAGUUGUUCCAAUGGGGAUAUUAAGCACAUCGGUGUUUUUCAGCUAUGCCCUUGUCUUGUAAUUAACUGAUCUGUUGAUAGAUUGAACAGUUUUAAGACAACAGAAAUGUUUUUUGCAAAGGAAGAUUGACUCCAUUAAACUGUGCAGUACAGCUUAUUGCCUUGUCUAGGUCCUUCCAGUACUAUGUUGCACGGGGACGCCUACUAGGUGGAGUACCGCAGUUUGGGGACGUCCCGGGGACGGGGACGGCUGGGGACGGCUUGGGGACGUCCCCAGAAAGUUGGGGACAGCAGGUUAAAAUUGGGGACGAUUCCUCGAGUAAAAUGAUAAAUAUACCCGUCCCCAAUUAAACAUAACAUAGAAAACCCCAACUCAGUGGCUUCUAUUCAAGUUAUAUACAUUAUUCACACGUUCUUCAUAUAUACAUACAAUCAUAACUCUUCUCAAACUACUUUCUCUCUCAACCAAAUAAAUAUAACUCAUUAGUUUUCAAAGGAAUCACAACAUGGAAUUAGUGGUACUGGAUAUGGACAUGAUGAAAGUGGAAGUGGAUCUGACAAUCAACCUCCUUUGUGACCCUAAAAUGGAGAAUGAGUUGAUCUCCGGUGAUAUUAAUAUUUGAGAAUGUUGCAUCUGUCCUAUUUAUAUUAAAUUUUUAAUUUUUUAUUAAUAUAUUAUGUGCCGUCCCCGUACCCUUUAAUUUUGAAAUUGUCGUUUCAUGUCCCCGUCCCCGUACCCGUAUAUGUUCCCGUACCCGUCUCCGUGCAACCUAGUUCCAGUAUACUAUAGAGUUAAGAAAUGCCUUACACGUCCAAAAAUUACCAUACACAUCAGGGAAGAAUAUUAACAUGUCUAUUCCCAUAUGCACACCCAACACAAACUGGAGUAUACAAACCGCCCGCAAUAAUAAAAUGCAAAUCAAGAUUAGUAGAACAGCUAAAUUAAUUAUACAUUGAAACAAUAAUAUUGUAACUAAACUUUAAGCACUAAACUAUAUAUAAUGAAUAGCUUAUACUUACAAAGGAUGUAGGCUUGCAAUCAGUGGAUAUGCAGGAACAAAUGGAGGUCCAGCAGAAAUACUCCUACUAUCAUCCUUCCAUUGGAGCUCAGAUAGCAGCACCUCAACCUUCUUACUCUUGAAAUUAUACGAAACAACUGUGCCCAAAACAUUUGCAAUAAGAGCUGAGUCUUCAUCCCGUUCUCCCCUAAGAACACCUAAUAUCG